rnacentral:misc_RNA from 1 species
UUUCCGUUUUCUCUCCCAAGUCCUCCAACAAUUUUCAUUUACUUCCAUUCCAACAACUUUCUCAAUCUCCGGCAGAGCAGAAGAGAUUACAAAGCUUACCGAUAAUGUCCAAGAACGACGAGCCGGUCGUCGGAAUCCCACUUUACGACGGCAACAACGCCUAUCAGGCUGGCCAGAUCCCUUCCAACGCCAUUUUUGGCGAUCCCCAGGGGGUUCCUAUCCACCAAACCAUGUACCGCGACACUCCUGCUCCCUUCUACUGUGUUUAUUGUGGAAAUUCCGGCCUCACCGCCGUCAGAUCAAAGUUAAGUUCAGCUGCUGUGGUUGGUUGUAUGAUGCCAUUUAUGUUGGGAGUAUGCUUUCUUUGUCCUUCAAUGGACUGCCUUUGGCAUAAGUAUCACUAUUGCCCCAGCUGCAAGGAGAAGGUUGGUGAUUUUGAGAAAUUGGAUAGGUGUGCUGUGAUGGAUCCUCCACACUGGACACAGCCAAGCUUCGCACUGCCUGCUUGAUUUUGACGAGCUGCUAUUUUCCCG